AAAAGUCCACCAGUCAACCAGAAAAGUCAACCAGUUGACCAGAAAAGUUGACCAGAGCGCCCGAGCGGCACCUGAGCGCCAGUUUUGGGCCUGAGCGGCAGUUUUUGGCGCUUGGGCGGUGGCGCGACUUAAGGCAAAUCGCCCGCGCGACCAACUUUGGCGCCCGGUGAUACGGGACGCCUUGAGGAGCUGACCGAUUAGCACGACGCAAAAGCAGGUAAAGCUCCUCCAAGCUUCUCCGACGAGAGAAAUAUGCAGCAGAAUAUAAUAUGAGGGAACAAUCGACAGAGUGAUCGAGAUAGAUGCAUAACAGAGAAGAACAAAUCAGAUCUGAGAAAGGAAUUUCAGAUAUUUGUAACCUAGAUCGGCGAAACCCUAGAAAGGGAGGAAACUUGAUUUGGACCGAUUAAACGGUGGAAAUGGUGUUUUAAUCGGUGGAGAUGGAAGAUCGAAGGUUGGAAUGGUGUUUAAUCGGUCUAAAAACCGAAUCAAUCGGUAGAAAUGGACGGAUAUGAUGAAUGAAGGUUUUAAUCGGUAGAAAACCUAGCAAAAUGGAGGAGAAGGAGGGAUCUAUGAAGAGGAACGAGUUUUACCGGUGAGAGAUGGCAACAAUGGUGGAUCUGUGAUGAUGAAGAAUGAAUCACGGUGAGGAGCUCUUUAUCUGUCGAGAGUGAAGAUGCGAGAAUGAAUCUGAAGAAAUGAAGGAGUGAUGUAGGUCUGAAACACGAAAUGAAAGUGUACUGAGGAGAGAGUGAAAUGCUGACGCAGGCAAGGUGCUAGGUGGCAGUGAAGGANUGGCCACGGUGGAUGAGAGAGAAGCACUGUGGAAUAUUUGGAAAAUGAAUAGUAAGAAGUGUGCUUUGGAAGGUGGCUAGAGGUCUUUGGACUCUCUAGCCAAUGACUUUCAAGAGAGAAUAAUUUUCUGAAUUAGAAAAGUUUAUUCUCAUUAAGCUCAAAAGNN
rnacentral:lncRNA from 1 species